rnacentral:misc_RNA from 1 species
UUAGUUUUAAUAGAUUUGUUUAUUGCUUAAUUUAUAAAGUUUAAUUGGGUCUAUCAUUUCAAUUGAACUCAAGAAAUAUGUUUUAAGGUAGCUCAAACAGAAAAAUCUUCACUGAAAUAAUUCAUAAAACAACUAAUGAUGCAUGGGAAGUAUCAUCAUCAUCAUCUCCAUUAUGGUGUUGCCGGGUGCCUGCAAGUCGUCCAAGGCAAUGCUGACCUCCUCCACUUCCUUCAACCUCUCCAGGCAAGUCUUCUUGAGAUCAGCUGCCUUCAGCCAGUACUCAUUCCUCAGUCUGGUCACAAUGGACUCCAGGUAGCCCUUACUUUUGGUUUUCUUCUCCACUUUGUUUUCCAGCUUAUUCUUGUUAUGCUACAAGAUCCCAAGCUGAAGCUUCAUGCUGUCACGAUCUUUGACCAGUCUGGAGGGAGUAGAGACAGGUCUGCAGUGUUAACCUCCUCCAAUUUGCUCACCUCGCUACUCUGCUUCUUCUUUAGCUGCUCAAUCUCAUUGUGAUAGUGCUGGUUGAUGGGCAAGCUUCAAGCCCCAUUAGAAGAAAACAAUGAACACUUACACGGAAGGCACUGACCAUCGGCAUCUAGAGCAGGUUGUCCAUAGUCAAACCCUCCAGUGAGGAGGCCUCCUUAGUUUUCCCCGCAUAGCAGCAAUUAACUCAAAGAAUCUGGGUGACUUCAAGGCAGGGGCUACCUAACAAACUUAUUUAUAAAGGCUUUUGCCACCACCUCUGGAGGGUAGCUCUCAGCAGGGGGCAACCUCCCCCAGAUCAGCCUCUGAAUUGGAACUCUUUCAAAAUAGACACGUUCAUUAGCUCAGAGUUAAGAAUAUUAAUGCAGAAGGUCAACAGACAGCAUCGAGCAAUUUUCAGAUGGUGUAUGCUUUCUCCAAUCAUGAUGGUCAUGGCCUCAAAUGAAAUACAUCAUCUCUGUUAUCUCCAAUGACUGUUUGAUUGAAUUUAUAAUUUAUUGCCCACUUUUCUUUAAUGUACUUAUUUAUCAACUAACCACAGAGAUAACUUGCAAUAAUGCAUGCAGGGAACUAAAACAGAAAUGCACGAACAUGCUUGUUCUGUGUCCUUUCCUCCUCAUGAAAAG